rnacentral:rRNA from 1 species
UACGUAGGGACCAAGCGUUGCUCGGAAUCACUGGGCGUAAAGGGUGCGUAGGCGGGUCUUUAAGUCAGGGGUGAAAUCCUGGAGCUCAACUCCAGAACUGCCUUUGAUACUGAAGAUCUUGAGUUCGGGAGAGGUGAGUGGAACUGCGAGUGUAGAGGUGAAAUUCGUAGAUAUUCGCAAGAACACCAGUGGCGAAGGCGGCUCACUGGCCCGAUACUGACGCUGAGGCACGAAAGCGUGGGGAGCAAACAGG